rnacentral:rRNA from 1 species
UACAGAGGUCUCAAGCGUUGUUCGGAUUCAUUGGGCGUAAAGGGUGCGUAGGCGGCGCGGUAAGUCGGGUGUGAAAUCUCGGAGCUUAACUCCGAAACUGCAUUCGAUACUGCCGUGCUUGAGGACUGGAGAGGAGACUGGAAUUUACGGUGUAGCGGUGAAAUGCGCAGAUAUCAGGAGGAACACCAAUGGCGAAGGCAGCUCACUGGGACGGUACUGACGCUGAGGCGCGAAAGCGUGGGGAGCAAACAGG